rnacentral:snRNA from 1 species
AUACGUACUUGGCUGGGGAGGUACCAUGAUCACAAAGGUGGUUUUCCCAGAGCAAGACUUGUCCAUUGCACUCCGGAUGUGCUGACUCCUGCGAUUUCCCCAAAUGUGGGAAACUCGGCUGCAUAAUUUGUGGUAGUGGGGAACUUCGUUCGUGUUCUCCCCU